UUUGUAUAUUGAAAAAAACAAAAACCACUUCCCUUUUCAAAGACAGUUGUUUGUGGUAAGAGUUCUAUCACAAGGCAUUGUAACUGUGAAACAGGUAAGUUGUCACAUGCACUUUACCUGAAAAUUCAGACUAUAUUAGAGUGUGGUUGUGCUUUCUUGUAGGAUUGCCUUUCAGGAGCAUUACAUACUGAAGGGAAGAGUGGAAGCUCCCUAGGGUACAAAGGUGACACAUACAGCUCACUGGAAAAUACAGAUAUUUUUUUAUCCAAAUGUUCUUUAGAGUCAGAAUUUACUGAAAAUGGAAAAGACAACAGCAUUAGAUCUUCUAGUGAUUUCCUCCGAAGUUUCAAAGCCUGGGAUUGGUUUGAUGAUGAGCAAGAUUCAUGUUGUGAUUCAAGUGGUCUAGAAAAAGAAGAAAAGGCCAUUAAUUGGUCUGAAACUAAUGCAAUUCAGAAUGCAGCUAUGUAUGUAGAAACAGGCAGCACCUUACCUUCUCAUUUGGCUGCAAAUACACAAGAAAAUAGUGACCAAAAUGUUACAAAUGGUUUGCUAAGGAAAAUUAUAAGUGGAACUAAUGCUCAAGCAUGCAGUAGUCAAGGCUUAAUACCGCCUCACAUCAGUCAAAUUUAUGAUGAAUUAUUUGUCAUACAUCAGAAGCUCCAGAGAGAAAGUUUAGCACAGCAGGAAUAUGCUCUUCAACUCCGGAAAAGAGAGCAUUUUAUAACAGAACGAGAAACAGUGCUUUUUAGACAUGAAGCAGCUUUGGCUAAAAUACGAGGUGUUGAGGAAGAAGUUCACUCAAAAUUUGGAAUUAUAAAAGAGCAACAUGAGGCAGAAGUUAAACAGCUGACAGAAAUCUUGAGAGAAAUAACUAAAGAAAAUAGGAGGCUGAAGUCAUCAUUUGACACCUUGAAGGAAGUGAAUGACUCUUUAAGAAAACAGUUAAGUGAUGUAACUGAGCUGAACAAGAAGUUGGAAGGUCAAGCAAGAAAAGUACAAGCUCGUUUAGAGAAUCUGCAAAGGAAGCAUGAAUUGUUAACAGUACAGAAGUCUAAGAAUAUCUGUCAAGUGGUGCAACAAAGUAAACCUGUCAAGCAGGAAAAAGUGAUGGUAACAUCGAAAAAUGCUAAGCUACCAACAAAUUCACAAGUUUAUGAGCUCCUAACUUUUCUUAUGGAUUGGAUCUCAGACCAGCAUCUCAGCAAAAUAAAAAUACAUGAAGAAAGAGGGGACAGUUCUAAACCUCUGGCUAUCGAGACCUCAAAAAAGACCUGCACCCAGGAAAGAUGUAUGAAGCUUCUGCCUCUAGCUACUGAGCAACUCCAGUGGAUGCCAUUUGUGAAUUCCAAACUACACAUGCCUGUAAUUAAAUUUAUUUACUGGUCUAUAAGACAGUUAGACACUGGUGUUCAGCAUGCAGCAAUGACAUCAACAAUGAGGAGACUUGGUGAAGAUAUUUUCAAAGGCAUAGUAGUUAAGGGAAACCCAGAUAGUUCUUCUGAGCAGUCUACAGAGAGUAAAUCAAAAUUGGCAGCUUUUUUUAAGAGCUCCUGUAUGCCUUUGAGAUUUCUCUCAACUUUAAUUGUGCUUAAAACAGUGACACAAGUGGAUUACCUGGCUCAGGCAUUUGAUUCCCUUCGAACAGACUUGAAGACAGGUGAAGGGAAGGCCUUAUUUUUGGAAUACCAGUGUGUGCCUGUUAUAUUAAGUCACCUAAAAGCAUCCAGUAGAGGUCUGCUUUCCAUUGCUCUUGAUGGAUUACUUCAGAUGACCAUGGAAUCUGAUUCUGUACAGCCUUUCCUGGAAGCCUGCAGUAAUGAAUCCUUCUUCCGAACUUGCUCUGUUUUGCUUCGAAGUUCUAAGCUAGAUACUCAGAUUUUGGAAAAGCUCUGUGUGAUACUGCAAAAACUCUCCAGAAUAAAAAGUAAUAAGAAGAUGUUUGAAAUGUUUACUCUUCACCAAAUGAUCCAAGAACUGCACAGGACUACAAACCCAGAUCAUGUUUUUCUCUGUAUAAACCUCAACUCAAUUCUGUUAAAUUUGGGAUUGUCAAGGAGUAACUCUCUUAUCUCCGGUUUACGCACAAGUCACUAGCACUAUCAUUCAGUCUAAUUUUUGUUCUGUAUAACUUUUACCAACAGCCUAUGUUACUUGAAAUUUGGAGGGGUUUUCUUACUGUUGUGUGUAAAUUAAUUAAGCAGAACCUCAGUACUGUAUGUUAAUCUGUAUUGUGUGGAUUCUCAUUAAUAUUUCCCUUACUCAUAAAAAGGAAAAUGAAAAUUGGCAUAAUAUGUAAAAUGGCUUUCUUAAUUGAAAGAAAUUAAAAUAAUGCUUCUAAUCUGAGCAAUUCGUGUAUCCUAAGGAACUGGAUCACUUGAGUCAGCAGAUCAGGAAUACCACCCUUUCCUUACAGAACUCUUUGAACUGAGUCUUUGAAGUUGAAUUCUAAAUGCAGAUAUUUUUCUAGCAAUGUGACUUGCAUUUCUGACAAGCUUUCCUAUGAAAGGAGUCUACACGACAUUUGGCACCAUGUAUGUCCAGAAGAGAGAACAAGCAGUGUGUACUCUCUGGGCAGGAAAUGAAUUCUAGGUAAUUUUUAAAUCACACAAAUAAUUGCUAAAAGCUUUUGCUGACAGCUGGUUAUGUUUUGGAAUAGGAUUUCUUCAUCAGGCGUUUCAGAAUUUUGUCAGAUUUACCUGAAGUGCAAAAGCUUGCUUAUACCUUUGGCUGGAGACAAAACCCUCUUAUUUAGGAAGUGUGUUCCCAGUCCUCAUGUGCUUCUCCAUCCACUUGGUUAUUAAAAAUACUAGAAAAUAAAUAAAUAAAAAUCUAUAGAAAGUUGUUGGGUUUCCUGCAUUCCCAGGAAUGUUGAUUGUGCUUAUGGCUUUCAGCCUUCAUCACUGUGGUUUGUUAAUCUAACCUUUUUUGUGGUACCAAUUUAACACUGUGUGUUCAUCUAAUAAUUGCAAAGGUAAUUCAAUAAAAGAGCAUGAUGUAGCUUUUACGAUGGGUCCCUUCUGUUUUCUUUUCUGUGGGAUUUACAGUCUGACAAGAUGAAUCACCAAUCAAAUUUUUAUGAUCUAGAAUGUUUGUUAAAAUGCAAAAAAAAAUUUUGAAUCUGUUACAUAUUAAUGCAAUUAAAUUGAUGAUUAAUUAAGGAUAAGACAAAUGAUUUUGAUCUUAGGUAAAUUUUAACUGGGCUGUAAAGAAAAAUAGAAGUUCUUGAUUUAACAUUCAUAUAACAGUAAACAAAAAGUAUCAGGAAUAAAGAAAUAAAUUAAUUAUGAAUAUGAAGUGUCUUUUGAAGAAUAGAUACUUCUAUAAAUAAAAAAGCUCUAGUAAAGUUCCAAAA